GGUGUCUCCGGUCUAAUUAGUUUACAGUGUUUCUGCUGGCAUUCAGUUUGGGCCUAAAUGUGCGUGUGGUGCAAAGUGGGAAGUGUUUGAGUUUCUGAAGAGCUUUAGACAAGUGACGCUGAGAUACAAUGGCCGGGCUGGCCAGGUCCAAAGUCCGAGCCAUAGAUGGCAUGUCAGUCAUCGACAGCAGUGUUGUGUUUGACGUUUCUUCCUUUUAGUGCAUGUGGUGUCUCCUGUUCAGUGUCACACUGGCCUCCUUGCUCAGCAGUCGGUUUAAGUGUUUUGCUGUUUGCUAAAUCUGUGCCCCUUCAUUAGUAGCACUGUCAUUAGGAGGUCACACACACACGUGACCUGAAGUGUCCCUCAUUGUCUUGUCACUCCUGUCUGUUCCUGUCCUCAGCCUUGAACCCUUUUGCGGUGAUUUUCUAAGUUGCUGAUAGAGGGUGUUGGGUGGGAUGUUUAGUCUUGUGGGGGCAAGAAGCUUAUCAGUUAGAGGUACCCGCAUCAGUGGCAGCCCACCAAAUACUGGAGCAGAGUGUUCAUGUGCAGACAACAGUAAAUGGACACCAGGCUACCACAGAGACCCAGGAACAAGAAAGGAGCAGUGGUGGUAAGUGACAGAUGGGUACUUGAUGGGAAUCAGCCUAGUGGGGACUAACACUAGUGUAGCCCAGGCUGAGUGUAUUUGGAUUACUUUGAUGUUUUCAAUGAUUGGCUGAAGUGUGGGGUGGGGUGGGGUGUGGUGGAGGAGCGAUGCCUUAUCACCUUGGCUGUGUUAGCUACUGGAAAAUGAAGGUAAGUGUGCUGUUAGUGUUCUCUACCAGUGGGGGCAAAAGAGUGGUGAUCUCUCAUCUUGUGUCUGACAUCUUUAUCCUAGCUGGCUGGCUGAGGUGGGAUUUGAACCACCAACCUUUGGUUUCAGGGUCUGCUGUCUUAUCCCCUGGACCACAGGAUGGGCCCCUUUUGAUGUUAAGGUAAAGUGGCUAUUUGUGUUCUCUACUCACACACUUAAACAUAAGAGUAACUUCAAUCACUCACCUGGUGGGUGAGCUAUGGGGACCCUUGGUGCUGUGGUUGGCUGGAGGUGGGAAUCGAACCACCAACCUUGGGUCCUGGGGACUGUGGUCUGUGGUCUUAUCCCCUGGACCAUGGGACGGGUCCCCUUUGAUGUUAGGCUGAAAUGGCUAUUUGUGUUCUCUACUCACACACUUCAACAUAAGAGUUAACUUCAUCCACUUACCUGGACAUUGGUGGGGAGACCUUUGGUUGGCCAGGGGUGGGAAUUGAACCCCCAGCCUUGGGUCUCAGGGACUGCGGUCCUGCCCACUGGACCAUGGGUCUCUGUUGAUGUUCAGGUAAAGUUGCUAUUUGUAUUCUCCACUCACACACUUCAACAUAAGGGUAGAUUCAGCCACUCACAUGGAGGGGGGUCUGGGGGACCCUUGGUUGGCUGAGGGUGGGAAUCGAACCACCAACCUUGGGUCCCAGGGUCCAUCGCCUUACCUCCUAGGCCACAGGUCCCCUUUGAUGUUAGGCUGAAAUGGCUAUUUGUAUUCUCUACUCACACACUUCAACAUAAGAGUAACUUCAUCCACUUACCUGGACAUUGGUGGUAGGGCCUUUGGUUGGCCAGGGGUGGGAAUUGAACCCCCAGCCUUGGGUCUCAGGGACUGCAGUCCUACCCACUGGACCAUGGGUCUCUGUUGAUGUUCAGGUAAAGUUGCUAUUUGUGUUCUCCACUCACACACUUCAACAGAAGAAUAACUGGACCUUUGGUGCUGUGGCCAGAGGUGGGAAUUGAACCCACAGCUUUGGGUUUCAGGGACUGUGGUCUUGCCCACUGGACCAUAGGUCCCCUUUGAUGUUAGGCUAAAGUGGCUAUUUGUAUUCUCUACUCACACACUUCAACAUAAGAGUAGAUUCAGCCACUCACAUGGAGGGGUGGGGGUCUGGGGGACCCUUGGUUGGCUGAGGGUGGGAAUCGAACCACCAACCUUGGGUCCCAGGGUCCAUCACCUUACCUCCUAGGCCACGGGUCCCCUUUGAUGUUAGGCUGAAAUGGCUAUUUGUGUUCUCUACUCACAAACUUCAACAUAAGAGUUAACUUCAUCCACUUACCUGGACAUUGGUGGGGAGACCUUUGGUUGGCCAGGGAAUUGAACCCCCAGCCUUGGGUCUCAGGGACUGCAGUCCUACCCACUGGACCAUGGGUCUCUGUUGAUGUUCAGGUAAAGUUGCUAUUUGUAUUCUCUACUCACACACUUCAACAUAAGAGUAGAUUCAGCCACUCACCUGGUGGGGUGGGGGGUCUGGCUCCUCUGGGGGACCCUUGGUUGGGAAUUGAACCACCAACCUUGGGUUCCAGGGUCCAUCACCUUACCUCCUAGGCCACAGAGCCCCUUUGGUGUUAGGCUAAAGUUGCUAUUUGUAUUCUGUACUCAAACACUUCAACAGAAGAACAGCUUGGACCACUCAUCUAGGCAUUGGCAGAGGACCAUGGUUGGAUUUGAACAACCAACCUUGGGUCUCAGGGUCUGUCUAUCCUAGUCCAUGGGUCGAUCCUGGGCGUCAUCUAAAACGACUACUUGUGCGCUCUUCCUCAACAUACCACGCUUACGACCUCCUGUGGAUCUUCUUGUUAAACUCUAAUUUGGGGCUGAUGACUUAAUUGAGUCCUGCCCUAAUUACCCACCUGUUGAGUUGUGGGUGGGGUGUUGAAUAUAAAAGAAGCGUCUGUGGGGUUUAGGUGAGAGUGUGAGAAGAGAGGAGAAGGACUGGACUGGACUGGACUGGACUGGACUGGACUGGACUGGACUGGACUGGACUGGACUGAACAAGAUACCUACAGCCAUUCUUAGCGGGCACAGCAGCCGAUCAGCAUAGGGGAAGGAAAUCCAUGCCCAGUUACAAGUAACGCCCCAGGACUCAAGUUACAGCACCAACAGGAAACACUAUAAUGGUCCUCUUCAGGAGAGACAGAAAACGAAGAUUCAAACGGGUGAGGUUAGUUUUGAUCAUUAAGGAGAAGGAUUAAGUUCUGCCACCACAAUCUUAAAGCCUUUAGAAUAAACAAUCUGCAUCAAUCUCCGUAAUGGUCCCUUAAAGUCACAGGUCGGCUAAUUCCCAUUGUUCAGCACAAUCUGCCUGCUACCGUUACCAGACUCUAGAAGCACAUUUCCUGGGGUGAAGGUGUCUGUUACACUGGCAUGCUUAAUCUUUAAUAGCCUGCUAGCCCUGCAAAAGUAUUUUUAACAAGUUAAUUGAGAAAUGAGCAACACUUCUGCUGAUCCAGACAUCCCUAAAAAUCAAUGGAAUCAAUCUCCAAGGCCUGGUGUGAAUGCAUUUCUUUUUUAAUAAGCUCAGCCCGAUCAUUUGGUUUGUUCGUUUACUUGAACUAUGACAAGAGCACAGCAGCUUAGAUUUUCCCUGGAAAAGCAGACCGUCAUAAUGAUCGUUGGCCUGUUUUUUCUUAAUUAUUCUAGAAAACCACAAUCGGGCUGCCAGUCCAUUUCGGGGCACACAGUGUGCCAUAUAAAGCAUCAGUUAUGGGUGAUAAGCCAAAAGAUGGGCAUACAGAGCAUCGCUAAACCACAGCCAGAAGUGUACGUUGACUCAACAAGAAGACCCCCUCAUCUGCUCCCUGCACCCCACCAUUGUGGCUGUUCUAAUAUCUGUGACAUCAGGGUAACGGCUGACAUUUUUAUAGCAUGUACUGCAGCAAAGCACUGCGACGACACUGGGGAAAGAGGCCUGAGCCUGAAGUCGUAUAAAUUACAGCACAGCUUCCCAUUAGCAGACCACCACCAUGUCCAAGGAAACCCUGCAGCGUGAAGGCAAUUCAUUGAUUAGAGAACGACACAACAUACCUAAGAAAAAUGGCCCAUUGGUGCAGCUCAUUAAAUCUUCUUCCGUAGGCUCAUUUAUUCAGCAUGGAAAACAAAGGAGUUUAAGCAAAAUUGUUCCUUGGCCAUUUUACAGCCACACAGAGCAAGGUGACCAAGUGAGGCAUGUAAUAAGCAGACUGGAGCAAGUCGGAAACUAAGAGGCAGGCCCAGUUGAUCACUAGAGCCGGAGAGCUCCUGCUGUAAGCCCACCAAAGGCUCAAGAGUUCAAGUGAGGACACACAGCAGCGAGGGGCUCUCAUCCAGGAGUGCAGAAGCACUAAAAUGAAGGUAAACCACUUUAGAAAGAACCCCACACUGGUCACUGUUCUCAUUUACUUUAACUUAGGAUUUCUUGUCAGGCACACAGUGCUGGGCGUCCAGUGACAAAUGACAACAAAAUAACACAGCAGCUGUGAUUUCCAGUAAAGGCCUAAAAUGCAACAAGCUGGCAAAUGGAGACACAGUCUAACACUGUUAACCGAGAGCAGACGUUACUUACCAAGUGUGGUUCAAACUUCAACACAACAUUUUGGAAAGGCUUACCUGAUGGAGAUUUAAAGGUAAAAAUGAUAAAUUGUGGAGCUGCGGUGCCACCAGUGGCGUAGAGCACAAGCCGUACCUGUUGCCGCUAUGCUUACAGAAUUCCUUUCCUCUUGCAGUCCUUCCUAGAUAGGUGGCAGGAGCAGUGAGCUGGCGCAGACACCUACCUGUGUUUGGGAUCUGUUGUGCCAGCAGAAAAGUAAAACGGGAACAUCUCUAAGGUGAAGUGACCUGUCCGACUUCAGGUAAACUUUAAAGUAGUUUGUUUUUGUGCUACCACAUUGCAGACUGGCCUUGGCUUUUAAAAUUUCAAAAAUGGAUACAGUGCACUCAAGACUACAUCAAUGAAACUGUGCCGACAAAUUGUCAACGUGUGCCACUUUUUAACAAAUCAGGUCUAUGGGAAGUUGGGAUUGUUUCUGGGACAACUGCAGAAGCUGCUGUUUGUAUUACAUGUACCUGUUCUUAGAAACUGGUGCCAGUUAAAGGUGAAAGCAGUGCACCAUUUUGACUCCAUCUGCAGCGGGUGAUCUCCAUCAGGAAUGCACUCUUCUGCAUCACGGAGACAUCUGCAACUGAAUUGUGCCUGGCCAGUUAGUGUUUCUAAACCUAUGGAAAAACCCUGCUGCUCCGGGGACAGACCUGCUGAUGGGUCAGAAGGGCUAGUGUGGUUCAAGUCCCAAGCGAUGCUGGCAGUGGACAUGUAGGGCCACCACAGAUGGCACAGGCAGAUGAGUCAACUUGACAGCAAGAGCCGUGAAAGCAGAGAAGGACAGCCUACUCCAUCUUCACUCUUAGCAGCUCCUCUGCAGCCAUGGGUGCUCCUCAUCAUCGUGGAUUGUAUCUGUGCUGUGAAUUGAGAACAUUGCUACUGAAGCUUACAGGGCCUGAACUUCUGUCCUUUCAAUAGGAAUAAGGUGGAAGGUGGAAGGUGGGAGACGCGGUGUGACAGACCAGUGAUAAAUGUCUUCCUUUGCAGUGGCAGUGUGACGACAAUCCAUUUGGUGAUGUGAAGUAGCACUAGAUCUCUAACUGCACAGAGUUUGGGACUUUUCUCUUCAGCUGUCCUUAAACUGUGACACACACACACACACACCCAGACCCACACCAUUGCUUUUGGGAUAGGGGACCCUAAAACGGCAAGAUCAACUAAAAAAUGGGAGAUUUUUGACAAAUCUGCUUUCAUUCAACAGGAGAUAGUGGGGGUUUGUCCAAAGUGGUCAGCAAUACCAAUUCAAACUGCUGCUGCCUGGGCACACUGAGCUUACCUCAGAGUCUAAAUCUUCCAAAUAUUCCCCCAAUACCUAUAUGAGCAUCUUAUUGCUGACUGCAUCAAUCGGAUUUUAACAUCACCAUGAUUCCUCAGCUGACAGUUUGAUCAUCUUUAGUUGAAGUCAGCGCUGUGUCACCCAAGGUUUCUUCCUCUUAGACAAAGGUUGACCCAUUUCUGCACAACAGCUUGUCAGCACUCAGAGGAGCUCCUUCAACAUCUAGUAAUAAGCACUGGCAGAUCUUGAAAGAUGCCACACUAAAGACUGCUCACAAGGACCUUGGGUAUAUCAAGUCUGGUUAGACGGCAGCGAUGCUGAAAUCUCCAACCAUGUCAGCCAAGAAUCUGUCAAAUGAAUGAGGGCACAAACUUUUAAAGUGGCAUAGACCAGGAAGACACCAGGAGAACCUGAUGGUAGAACUUAAUCUAUUUCAGGUAAGAGUUUCUCUUAGCACAUCUGUAAAAUCACAAGCACUUGGCUUUGCAGCGAUGGACGACUGUAGGUCAGAGAAAGCUCAGGUUUGGCCCCUGCUAGCGAAUGUGGACGAUCCGAGUCCCCUUGCUGUGAGCCUGAUCACACCAACUGAAGCAGAGGGCCCGAGUGCAGUUGGCACUACUUUGUGAGUGAACAGACUGUACUAACAUACUUCAGCAUGUACUGGAACACCUGCAACAUCACAGAUCAAUAUUUUCCCUUUUUAGCGAGUACUAGGAGAUGUUUCUGUUGGUGGGACCUUUUGCUUUGUAUUUUAAUAAAAAUGUUUAAAAACAAGAUGCUUGGACUGUAAAAUUUCUACAUCCCUUAAGAGUUGGAGGUUCUGCUCGUGUAACAGAAUUUCAGGAAGCCUGCGUCUGUUGCCUUCUUACCUUUUCAGGAGCACACAUGGCAGUGCUGCUCACUGGGAUGUAGGAUGGCUUCAGCAUUUACAAAAGCCUAGUUGGCACAGUGACCAUUCCAGCCACAAGCUGAUGCUUUGCCCUCAGUGUCUUAAGUUGCCACCUGCAUUAUGGAAAACAAAGUACCACACCCAGAAAACACACAAGCAGACCAUCUGCAAGGGGGCUGCACUCUGUUAUCACCGUAGCCACUACAGAACCAGAUGCUCACGGUUUGCCUUCAACGGCCGGGAGGAUCCUCAACAUGAUCCUACUGACGUGUCCUGGCUUCUGAGGAGCUCUUCCCAGAUCUGAAG